rnacentral:rRNA from 1 species
UACGUAGGGGGCUAGCGUUGUCCGGAAUCAUUGGGCGUAAAGAGCGUGUAGGCGGCCCGGUAAGUCCGCUGUGAAAGUCGGGGGCUCAACCCUCGAAUGCCGGUGGAUACUGUCGGGCUAGAGUGCGGAAGAGGCGAGUGGAAUUCCUGGUGUAGCGGUGAAAUGCGCAGAUAUCAGGAGGAACACCAACGGCGAAGGCAGCUCGCUGGGACGGUACUGACGCUGAGGCGCGAAAGCGUGGGGAGCGAACAGG